GCAUCCGUCUAUCUCUGGCUGCUGUGUUUGUUGCUAAUGCCUCAAAGACUCACUUGGGAAUAGAUACUUCUUCCUGGAGCCAUGGUACCAGCCCAAGAUGACUUACCAAGGUUUUCAGUACCUUUAUGCAGGGAAAAACAGCUGAUUUAUACAAUCUCUGCUACCUAGACAUCUCCUGCAGGUAGUUCAAGAAUGAAAUCAGAUUCCAUACAUUGAGUCAGUUCAGUUCACCUACCAGUGGAGUGUGAGCCUGCGCAGAGGAUUCAGGGGUACCUUAUGUCUCAACAAUAAAAGAGGACACAGCUUCGGGCAUGUGGAAUCACUAUCUGCUUCCUGGACUUUCCCUGGACAGAAAUGAACUUCCCAAGGGUCCUGUUAAGAAAAAUCCUCAAUUUUCCAACAUUUAAAGUUUUCAGUAGAAGACUUGUGUUUUUGUCAGCAUAAUACAUUCAUUGCGUUAAUAUUGAAAAUUUCAAAUAUGUGAGAAAUGAAAACUUAAAAUAAAUUCCAGUUUUAGGAAA